rnacentral:rRNA from 1 species
UACGUAGGGACCAAGCGUUGUUCGGAUUUACUGGGCAUAAAGGGCGCGUAGGCGGCGUGGUAAGUCACUUGUGAAAUCUCUGAGCUUAACUCAGAACGGCCAAGUGAUACUGCUGUGCUCGAGUGUGGAAGGGGCAAUCGGAAUUCUUGGUGUAGCGGUGAAAUGCGUAGAUAUCAAGAGGAACACCUGAGGUGAAGACGGGUUGCUGGGCCAACACUGACGCUGAGGCGCGAAAGCCAGGGGAGCAAACGGG